rnacentral:rRNA from 1 species
GGAGUUUGGACCGUGUCUCAGUUCCAAUGUGGGGGACCUUCCUCUCAGAACCCCUACUGAUCGCGGGCUUGGUGGGCCGUUACCCCGCCAACAACCUAAUCAGACGCAUCCCCAUCCCAUAGCGGUGAACCUUUGGUAUUCUUCUGAUGUCAUCAAAAUACAACAUAGAGCAUUAAUCCGACUUUCGCCGGGCUGUGCCCUACUACGGGGAAGGUUGGAUACGCGUUACUCACCCGUGCGCCGGUCGCCAUCACAGAUAGCAAGCUACCCUGCAUGCUGCCCCUCGACUUGCAUGUGUUAAGCCUGUAGCUAGCGUUCAUC